rnacentral:rRNA from 1 species
UACGGAGGGUGCAAGCAUUAAUCGGAAUUACUGGGCGUAUAGGGCGCGUAGGCGGUUUUGUAAGUUAGAUGUGAAAUACUGGGGCUCAACCUCAGUGCAGCAUUUAAGACUGCAAGGCUAGAGGAUGGAUGGGGAAAACGGAAUUCCACGUGUAGCGGUGAAGUGCGUAGAUAUGUGGAAGAACACCGGUGGCGAAGGCGGUUUUCCAAUUUAUUCCUGACGCUGAGGCGCGAAAGCAAGGGGAGCAAACAGG